AAUGAAAGCAAAAGUUAUGCUAAGCGGGUGAUAUAAAGCCUGUGUAGGAUAGGAAGUCCUCCAUCUGAAAAGACUCUGUCCCAGGUGAUAUAUCGUCAGAAGAAGAGGAGAUCAUGAGUCACCGUCAGUGCAAGUGUAACUGCUCUUGCUCUAGCAGAUCAAACAGCAGUUCAAACAGCCAGCUGGUGUCAUACGGCCAUACACCAAAUCAAGUCGUCCUUCAUGGAGGCAGUAAUUACAGAUAAUUUAUGGACGAGCCGAAUAAUCAGGUGGAAUACAGUAUGAAGCGCAAGAAACGUAUUUAUGUUCAGACUGAGUAUGGCCUGAAGCCCGUUGACGUCGAAGAAACGCUUUCAUACCAUGUGGAAGGAGACGUGGACUUCUUGUGAAGAAACAAAGCGGGGAAGCAGAAAGAAUAAAUCUAAAUCAAACUCAGUUUCUGCUCAGGCUGUUUUUUGUUUGUCAUCAAGUCAUCGACGAAUGCAGUUCUUAUAUUCGGCUAAACAUGAAAAAGGUUUUCUUCGUAAGACGUGCUUAUAAUUGAGGUCUUGGUUGUAAAGGUAGCUUCCUCUUAGCUGGGAUUAUUCCUUUUCUUGCAAACAUUUCUCCUUGUAGUGAGUACAUAAAAGAUUUACUUAAAAUUGCAUCCCGCAUGGGCUUAUUGAGCAAGAACCUGAGAACCAGACUGUAGCAGACUGUAGAAUGCAUUAAGUGCACAAAAUAAUUUCAUUCUAGCUGUGUAACAUCUGAAACAUUGAAGUUGCACAGUCAUGCAACAAAAGUACCUCACGUAUAUUUGUAUUAAAAAAUUUAAAUGAUUAUCUGACUGGUGUUCAUGUGGGUUUCCUGUGGGGUUCUCUGGUUUCCUCCCAAAUGCACAUGCAGAUAGGUGGACCGGCUAUGCUAAAUUGCCUCAGGUGUGAAUGAACUGGUGUCUCUCCAGGGUGGAUUCCUGCCUCACACCCAAUAUUCCCAAGAUAGACUCUGGAUCCAUUGCGACCCUGAACAGGCUGGAGUGCGUACAUCUUCAUACAUGUUUAAUAAAGUGUUUUUCACUACUACAAUAUUUUGUUUAUUAACGGUCCUUUAAAUUGUGUCUAUAGUUAGGAUGAGGGAUGUUACAGUAAAAUAAUAAAAGCAUGUGUAACUUAUUUACGGUGUUUAAUGUGAGUAAUAAAACACUGAUGUGUGUUUAAAACCAGUGUAAAAUGAACUUAAAUCUCAGGUGUGCUAUAACCAUAAACCUAACCAAUAACUAUAACCUAACCAAUAACUAUACACCUAACAAAUAAUCAGUCAAGUGUGACUGAGUGUAAGGCAAAUACAUACUAUAAGUAAGUCAACUUCUAUAGUAAGUCUAGUGUGAUUCAACUGGACUGAAGCUAUUUCAUUAUUCUUUUUGUCCUGCACCCAACAAAAUGGUCAGUGGUAUGAUCAUAAGCCACUGCUGGUCCACAGAAAAAAGAGCUGGCCAGUAUCAAAUAUUUCCAGAUUAUUUUUUACAUAAUGUUGAAGUUUAAUGUUGCAGUUAUUCAGCCUUGGCUUAAAUGUAAUAGGUCUAGUGCUCAAACUAAAAAAAAUUUAUCUAUAUCCUGGCAAAAUUAGACAACUACAUAUAUGAAUCUUUGAAAUGUCCUUUGUGUUCCUUUUUACUUUCUUUAUUGUUGAUUCUUUU
ensembl:lncRNA